CGAUGAUGACGAUGAUGAUGAUCAUGAUGAUGAUGAUCAUGAUGAUGAUGAUCAUGAUCAUGAUGAUGAUCAUCAUCAUCAUCGUCAUCUUAUAUU
rnacentral:pre_miRNA from 1 species